AUUGCCCUAGUAACGGCGAGUGAAGCGGCAACAGCUCAAAUUUGAAAGCUGGCCUUCGGGUCCGCAUUGUAAUUUGUAGAGGAUGCUUUGGGUGAAACGCCAGUCUAAGUUCCUUGGAACAGGACGUCAUAGAGGGUGAGAAUCCCGUAUGUGACUGGAAAUGUUAACCUAUGUAAAGCUCCUUCGACGAGUCGAGUUGUUUGGGAAUGCAGCUCUAAAUGGGAGGUAAAUUUCUUCUAAAGCUAAAUAUUGGCGAGAGACCGAUAGCGCACAAGUAGAGUGAUCGAAAGAUGAAAAGCACUUUGGAAAGAGAGUUAAAAAGCACGUGAAAUUGUUGAAAGGGAAGCGCUUGCAAUCAGACUUGUUUAAACUGUUCGGCCGGUCUUCUGACCGGUUUACUCAGUUUGGACAGGCCAGCAUCAGUUUCGGCGGCCGGAUAAAGGCUCUGGGAAUGUGGCCUUCACUUCGGUGAAGGUGUUAUAGCCCAGGGUGUAAUACGGCCAGCCGGGACUGAGGUCCGCGCUUCGGCUAGGAUGCUGGCGUAAUGGUUGUAAGCGACCCGUCUUGAAACACGGACCAAGGAGUCUAACAUCUAUGCGAGUGUUCGGGUGUCAAACCCCUGCGCGUAAUGAAAGUGAACGGAGGUGGGAACCGCAAGGUGCACCAUCGACCGAUCCUGAUGUCUUCGGAUGGAUUUGAGUAAGAGCAUAGCUGUUGGGACCCGAAAGAUGGUGAACUAUGCCUGAAUAGGGUGAAGCCAGAGGAAACUCUGGUGGAGGCUCGCAGCGGUUCUGACGUGCAAAUCGAUCGUCAAAUUUGGGUAUAGGGGCGAAAGACUAAUCGAACCAUCUAGU
rnacentral:rRNA from 1 species